rnacentral:rRNA from 1 species
GACGAACGCUGGCGGCGUGCUUAACACAUGCAAGUCGAACGGAAAGGCCCAGCUUGCUGGGUGCUCGAGUGGCGAACGGGUGAGUAACACGUGGGUGAUCUGCCUCUAACUUCGGGAUAAGCUUGGGAAACUGGGUCUAAUACCGGAUAGGACAAUCGUUUAGUGUCGGUUGUGGAAAGUUUUUUCGGUUAGGGAUGAGCCCGCGGCCUAUCAGCUUGUUGGUGGGGUAAUGGCCUACCAAGGCGUCGACGGGUAGCCGGCCUGAGAGGGUGGACGGCCACAUUGGGACUGAGAUACGGCCCAGACUCCUACGGGAGGCAGCAGUGGGGAAUAUUGCACUAUGGGCGCAAGCCUGAUGCAGCGACGCCGCGUGGGGGAUGACGGCCUUCGGGUUGUAAACCUCUUUCGACAGGGACGAAGCUUUGGUGACGGUACCUGUAUAAGAAGCACCGGCUAACUACGUG